CUCAUGGUAAACACUCGGGCAGCUGCAUCUUCAUGGCACCCACCUUCCCAUCAGGAUCCAUAAAGGCUGACCAUUGACUAAACUCAGUGCAAAUCCUUUUAUAAGGCUAAUGAAACUGCAUCCCUUGGUCUAAAUACAGUCAUGACUUUAUGUCAUAUGACAUCCAGCCCUACAAUAUCAUAGAAGUCCACAGAAGCUGUCUGGGAGAGGAGGAGCGUACUGAGAUUGGGCUACCUGAGCUGUGAGUAAAGCCCUGCAGCUGGAC
rnacentral:lncRNA from 1 species